GGAAUUUCAUGCAUCGCCCAUUGGAGGACAUUCCGGGAUCAACAGAACACGAUCAGCCAUCAGCUCGCGAUUCUUCUGGCAUGGAAUGCAUGUUGAUAUUUCUAAAUGGAUCCAGGAAUGCCCUCAAUGCCAGAAGUCUGGAAAACCAAUCGCUGCUCCACAGCCGUUACAGUGUAUUAAGGUAUCCGCUGUCUGGGAGCUUGUCGGGAUCGACCUAACUGGUCCUCUUC